rnacentral:lncRNA from 1 species
AAUAGAGACAGGCCUUUUAAAAAAGCUUUAAAAGUUGACUAUAAGAUGAUGACCAGAGGUUUUCAACUUUUUCUCUUCAGGCAUAAAAACGUAGAGAAAAGCAAAAUAUGUUUUAAUGUUUCAGUUAGAAUUAUGCUAGAAGAAGUAUACAUUAUAAAUUAGAAUUUAUAUACUAUGCCCAUUUCCCAAUAAAGAAAUAGACGUUUCCUAUGAGAGAUAUAUCUAAGAGAGAAAUAGGGGAGGGAGAUUAAAAGGUACAAACUUAUAGUUACACAGUAAAUGAGUCAUAGGUAUGAAAUGUACAAUGUGGGGAAUACGGUCAAUAAUAAUGUAGUAUCUUUGUAUGGUGGCAAAUGAUAACUAGACCUAUUGUAGUGAUCAUUUUGUAAUGUAAAGAAACAUCAAAUCACUAUGUUGUGCAGCAGGAACUUAAAUAGUAUUAUAGGUCAAUUAUACUUCAAAAAAAAACCAAACUCAUAGAAAAAGAGAUCAGAUUUGUGGUUACCAGAGGUGAAAGGUUGGGGGAGGGGAAUUAGAGGAAGGUAGUCAAAAGGUACAACCUUCCAGGUAUAAGGUACAUAAGUACUAGGGAUGUGGUAUGCAAUGUGGUAAGUGUAAUUAAUUCUGCUGUAUGUUACAUAUGAAAGUUAUUAAAAGAGAAAAUCCUAAGCGUUCUCAUCGCACAGAAAAUACCCCCUUUUUUUUCUCUUUUUUUUAGUAUUUGGUAUCUGUAUGAGGUGGUGGAUAUGUACUGAACUUAUUGGGAUAAUCAUUUCAUGAUAUAUGUAAGUCAAAUCAUGACACUCUACACCUUAAACUUAUACAAUGCUUAUGUCAGUUACAUCUCAAUAAACUGGAAAAGUUCAAAUCAACAACAAAUAAAAUAAAUAAAACAGUGAAUAUAUAUAUUCUUUAUGAAGUCACCUAUUGACGGACACCUAGGUUAUUUCUGAGUUUUGGCUAUUGUAAAUAAUGCUGCCAUAAACAUGGGGUAUGGAUAUAUUUUCUUUUUUUUUUUUAAAUAGUAUUUGCCCAAUACAAUUUUUUUCUACUGUACAGCAUAGUGACCCAGUUACACAUACAUGUACACAUUCUAUUUUUGCACAUUAUCAUGCUGCAUCAUAAGUGACUAGAUAUAGUUUACAGUGCUAUACAGCAGGAUCUCACGGCUAAUCAUUCCAAAGGCAAUAGUUUGUAUCUAUUAACCCCCAAGCUCCCCAACCACCCCACUCCCUCCCCUUCCCCUUGGCAACCACAAGUCUAUUCUCCAAGUCCAUGAUUUUCUUUUCUGUGGAAAGGUUCAUUUGUGCUGUAUAGUAGAUUCCAGCUAUAAGUGAUAUCAUAUGGUAUUUGUCUUUCGCUCUCUGACUUUCUUCACUCAGUAUGAGUUCCACCUAUGUAGCUGCAAAUGGCAUUAUUUCGUUCUUUUUUAUGGCUGAGUAGUAUUCCAUUGUGUAUAUAUACCACAUCUUCCUAAUCCAAUUGUCUGUCGAUGGACAUUUGGAUUGUUUCCAUGUCUUGGCUAUUGUGAAUAGUGCUGCAAUGAACAUGCAGGUGAAUGUGUCUUUUUCAAGGAAAGUUUUGUCUGGAUAUAUGUCCAAGAGUGGGAUUGCUGGGUCAUAUGGUAGUUCUAUGUAUAGAUUUCUAAGGUACCACCAUACUGUUCUCCAUAGUGGUUGUACCAGCUUACAUUCCCACCAGCAGUGCAGGAGGGUUCCCUUUUCUCCACAGCCCCUCCAGCACUUGUUAUUUGUGGAUUUAUUAAUGAUGGCCAUUCUGACUGGUGUGAGGUGGUAUCUCAUGGUAGUUUGAUUUGCAUUUCUCUAAUAAUCAGUGAUUUUUUCAUGUGCUUCUUGGCCAUCUGCACAUCUUCCUUGGAAAAAUGUCUAUUCAGGUCUUCUGCCCAUUUUUCCAUUGGGUUGUUGGAUUUUUUGCCAUUGAGUUAUAUAAAUUGCUUGUAUAUUCUAGAGAUUAAGCCCUUGUCGGUUGCAUCAUUUGAAACUAUUUUCUCCCAUUCUGUAUGUUGUCUUUUUGUUUUCUUUUGGUUUCCUUUGCUGUGCAAAAGCUUGUCAGUUUGAUUAGGUCCCAUUGGCUUUUAUUCUGUUGCUUUGGGAGAUUGACCUGGGAAAAUAUUCAUAAGGUUGAUGGCAGAGAAUGUUUUGCCUAUGUUCUCUUCCAGGAGUUUAAUGGUGUCUUGUCUUAUAUUUAAGUCUUUCAGCCAUUUGGAGUUUCUUCUUGUGCAUGGUGUGACGGUGUGUUCUAGUUUCAUUGAUUUACAUGCAGCUGUCCAGGUUUCCCAGCAAUGCUUGCUGAAAAGACUGUCUUUUUCCCAUUUUAUGUUCUUGCCUCCUUUGUCAAAGAUUAUUUGACCAUAGGUGUCUGGGUUUAUUUUUGGGUUCUCUAUCCUAUUCCAUUGGUCUGUGUGUCUGUUUUGGUACCAGUACCACACUGUUUGAUACUGUGGCUUUGUAACAUAGCUUGAAGUCUGGGAGAGUUAUGCCUCCUGCUUGGUUUUUGUUUCUCAGGAUUGCUUUGGCGAUUCUGGGUCUUUCGUGGUUCCACAUACGUUUUUGGAUUGUUUGUUCUAGUUCUGUGAAAAAUGUCAUGGGUAAUUUGAUAGGGAUUGUGUUGAAUCUGUAGUUUGCUUUGGUGGUAUAGCCAUUUUUCCAAUAUUAAUUUUUCCAACCCAGGAGCAUGGAAUGUCUUUCCAUUUCUGUACAUCUUCUUUAAUUUCCUUGAUUAAUGUUUUAUAGUUCUCGGCAUAUAAGUUCUUUAUAUCCUUGGUCAGGUGUAUUCCCAGGUAUUUGAUUUUUUGGGGUGCAAUUUUAAAAGUUAUUGUAUUUUUGUAUUCUUUUUCUAAUAUUUCAUUGUUAGUAUACAGAAAUGUGAUGGAUUUCUGAAUGUUAAUCUUAUAGCCUACUACUUUGCUGAAUUUAUUGAUCAGUUCAAGUAGUUUUGGGGUUGAGUCCUUAAGGUUUUCUCUAUAUAGUAUCAUGUCAUCUGCAUACAGUGACAGUUUUACCUCUUCUCUUCCUAUUUGGAUGCCUUUUAUUUCUUUUGUUUGUCUGAUUGGUGUGGCUAGGACUUCCAAGAUUAUGUUGAAUAACAAUGGUGAGAGUGGACAUCCUUGUCUUAUUCCACAUUUUAGUGGGAAGGCUUUCUGCUUUUCUCCGUUGAGUAUUAUAUUUGCUGUGGGUUCUUCAUAAAUGGCUUUGAUUAUGUUAAGGCAUGUUCCCUCUAUACCCACUUUGGUAAGAGUUUUUAUCAUGAAUGGAUGUUGGACUUUGUCAAAUUCUUUUUCUGCAUCUAUUGAGAUGAUCAUGUGGUUUUUGACUUUCCUUUUGUUAAUGAGGUGUAUGACGUUGACUGAUUUGCGUGUGUUGAAAAAUCCUUGUGCACCUGGGAUGUAUAUUUUCAAGUUAGUGUUUUCAUUUCCUUUUGAUAUUUUCCCAGAAGUAGAAUUUCUGGUUUAUGUGGUAGUUCUAUUUUUUUUUUUUUGAGGAACCUCCAUACUAUUUUCCAUAGUGGCUGAAUUUGUCCUACCAGCAGUACAAAAGGGUUCCCAGAAAAGAAAACUUUAUUUAAGGAACUGACCUGAUUCAUAGGGGUGGCAUACUUGCAUUUGUAAAAAGGUAUACUUGCCCCUGCUUUGCCCAUCCUUGCUCAGCAGUAGUUGCUGUUGUCUUAAACUGGAGGGCUGUGUCCUGUCCAUCUGACUUUCAGUUUCAGCCCACAGUCUUAACUAACACUGCCACUUUUCCCCACCAGAUGAACUGUUGCUUAGUUAACUACAAGGAAACAUAUAUAAUGAACUUCAGCUACUCAUAUCAUCCCCACCUGAGGACCAGCCCUGAAAUAAGGGUGGAUCAUGUAUGUCAGUGUCAUUUCAGCCUGACCCAGCAUCUUCAUGCUGACAUUUUUGGGCAAGACUCUCACAGAGCUCACCACCAAGUCUCAUUUAAGUUAUUAUAGCAUUCAACCAUAGCAGAAAUCAUGACGUUAUUGUGGUAGUACGCGUUUGGAAGAUGUAUCUAUGAAAAUAGAGGUCAAAGGAGAAAAGUACUAGAAACUGCUAUUUUAGAAGCUAAUACGUUAGAUCAGUUGGCUAAGUUGAAUAAUGCAACCAAAAUACAGGGGUAGAGAGGUAUAGCUAAUACAUAAAAGAUACAAAGAUGUAUUGAAGCCCUUAUAUAUAAAGAUGUCUUUUGGAAACCUCAUUCCCUUUAAAGUAGAAAACCUAAUACAUUAUUGACUCUUCUCACUAAUAGAUUCAUUUUCCAGAAGGUGAUGGAAGCAACCAUGGGGAUUGCUACUUUGAAAAUCACUGAAAAAAGAAAAAAGAGGAGCUGCGUUUUAGUGUAUAAACAUUGGCAUAAAAUCAAAGGAAGGAUAUAUACAGGGCAUAGUCUGAUGGUGUGCACUGGCCUUUAGAAAAACAGCUUCAAAAUAUUCACAAAAAAAACAUGAGUCUAUGUUCGAGAACUUAAAAGAAGAGGGUAAUUCAAAAAGGAUAGGAAUCUCUAAGCAAAUAAAUUCUGACAAUUCAAUCAUAAAUAAUCCCCUAAAAUAAGGAAAAGGAGGUGACUUCUAAAGAAAGGAGCUACAGGGAGUUAUCUAAGAAUGCAACAUCAUGGAAGAGACAUAUUUCAAAGGAAGGACGUAAAGAAGUAGUUUAGCCAGAAAAUUCACUGCAAAAAUAUUAAAACCCAGAAUAAGUUAGAGUUUGUGAAAUAUACUGAGGACAAUAAAAACAUCUCUUUUUUUGCUUUGUAUGAAAAGACCUUAAAAAGGAUUAGUCUUGGCCCUGAUGUUGUGAUAUUAAAAGGGAGAAAGGAGAACAAAUCAGCAUUUAUGUUUCCUCUACUUUCCAUAUGAAAGACAAUGAUCUUCAAAGUGUACAUUGUCUUUGCCAAGAAGAAGUUAGGCUCAAGAUAGGUGAGGAAGAAUAAAUUAAAGCUACAUUAUUGACAAAUACUUAGUGCUAUGUAUUUAUUUUAAAAAAUCGUUUUGGGGAAUUUUCUCUUACAGAUUCUAGGAGGUGCAAUGAAAAAAAUUAAAUAAGUUCAAGAAGCUUUGAUCACCAGUGAAAUUUUAUGCAUAUAUCUCACACAUUCCUAGGAAGUAAAAGGUAUCAUUACUUUUACAGAAGAGGAAAUCAAGAGAAGGUCAUUAAGCUACCCAAGGACAUAACACAUAUUUGGUGGAGACACUGGAAUGGGGAUUUAACCCUGUCUGACAUUAGAAACUGUGUAUUUUCUCCUUCCUAUUCUAUGACUCUCUCUUAAGUAGAGAGCAAAAGUUCAUAGUUACAUCCUAGCAUGCAAAAGAAAUUGCAGUGUAGUUGCAGAAUGUUUGUUGGCAUUCUGCAAACUGGAAGCAGCAAGUCCUAGGAUACUACAGAAUACUUGAUUAUUCAAAGGGGAUAUAUACAUGUAUGUAUAUACACAUAAGUAUAUAUGUGUAUAUAUAUAUAUGUAUAUAUUUCAGAAACACAAAUUGGCAAAUCCAGUAUAGAUUUAAGAACAGAUUUUUCACCAAUAAUACAUGAACACUUAAAAAAGUAGUAAUCAGGAGGAGGCUGCGUGAUUUCCAGAAGUACAUAUAUAUUUACUUUGCAGAACAAUGACUAUGAUUUCAGAAAAGUAUUAACCACAUAUCUCAAACAUGUCAACACAAGUAUUUCUGAUAUCUUAAUGUUUCGAGAUAGAGCUAGAGUUAUGUGUUGCUGUUUCAAAAUUAUCCCAAAAGAGUGCCGGAGAAAGUCUUUAGUGAUAUGCCACAGGGCUCUAAUGUUGAGCUUCUUUUAACACAUUUAAAUCUACAUCUUAAAUGAAGACAUAGGGGUAGAAAAAUUUUAGGUGCAGAAAAUCAUGACGAAUAGCCACAGACCAGAUUCUAAAUAAAAAUGCAACCAAACUUUGAUAGGUCAAAUAAACAACAUGAAGUUUAACAGAGAAAUUUAAAAAUUUACACUGAGUUUUAAAAAGUCAAUAUUAACAAAUGGAAGAUAUGUGGCUUAACAUUUCAUCACGUGAAAAAACCCCCAAAGACUUUAAUUACUACAAAUCAAUUACAGGCAACAGUAUAAAAUGGCUUUUUAUGAAGAUGGUGUUAUCUCAGCCACAUUUCUGUUCACUGGCAUGACCCUACAACACAUAUUUUAAGCAAGACCUUUCCAUAAUAAAGCUCCCUCAAAGAGAUAGAUAUAAAGAAUGAAAAGAUCAAAGAAUAUUUUAACUAGUUCCGUAUUUCUACUGCUUGGCUGUGGGUCUGGAAAAAAACGAGUGCUCAGUAAAUAUGUGUUGAAGUGAUAAAUCAUGAAUGCCAUGUUACAUGGGGUAAAGAUAAAGGAACUGAAGAAUUUCAUCUAAAGAAAAAGUUUGAGUGCCUAUUGUGGCUCAGUGGGUUAAGACACAGAUACAGUGUCCGUGAGAAUGUGGGUUCAAUCCUGGCCUCACUCAGUGGGAAAGGAUCUGGCCUUGCUGCAAGCUGCAGCAUAGACUGCAGAUGUGGCUCAGAUCUAUCUGCAUUGCUGUGGCUGUGGUAUAGGUCUGCAGCUGCAGCUCCGGUUAGACCCUUACCCUGGGAACGUCCAUAUGUGUGGGCAGCC